rnacentral:rRNA from 1 species
CCCUUAGAUGUUCUGGGCCGCACGCGCGCUACACUGACGAAUGCAACGAGCUUAUAACCUUGGCCGAAAGGUCUGGGUAAUCUCCAAAUUUCGUCGUGAUGGGGAUAGAUUAUUGCAAUUAUUAAUCUUCAACGAGGAAUGCCUAGUAAGCGCAAGUCAUCAGCUUGCGUUGAUUACGUCCCUGCCCUUUGUACACACCGCCCGUCGCUCCUACCGAUUGAGUGAUCCGGUGAGUAAUUCGGACUGCAGCAGUGUUCAGUUCCUGAACGUUGCAGCGGAAAGUUUAGCAAACCUUAUCACUUAGAGGAAGGAGAAGUCGUAACA